rnacentral:rRNA from 1 species
UACGUAGGCAGCGAGCGUUGUUCGGAGUUACUGGGCGUAAAGGGUGUGUAGGCGGUUGUUUAAGUUUGGUGUGAAAUCUCCCGGCUCAACUGGGAGGGUGCGCCGAAUACUGAGCGACUAGAGUGCGGGAGAGGAAAGUGGAAUUCCUGGUGUAGCGGUGAAAUGCGCAGAUAUCAGGAAGAACACCCGUGGCUAAGGCGGCUCUCUAGUACGGUACUGACGCUGAGGCACGAAAGCGUGGGGAGCAAACAGG